UAAUACGUAGGGGGCAAACGUUGCUCGGAAUUACUGGGCGUAAAGGGUGAGUAGGCGGCUGUGCAAGUCAGGGAUGAAAUCCCGCGGCUCAACUGCGGAACGGUCCUUGAAACUGCGCGGCUUGAGGACAGUAGAAGAGAAUGGAAUUCCCGGUGGAGCGGUGAAAUGCGUAGAUAUCGGGAGGAACACCUGAGGCGAAAGCGGUUCUCUAUGCUGCUCCUGACGCUGAGUCACGAAAGCCAGGGGAGCGAACGGGAUUAGAUACCCCGGUAGUCCUGGCCAUAAACGAUGGAUACUGGAUAUUCCUGCAGUUGUGUGGGAGUGUCGAAGCUAACGCGUUAAGUAUCCCGCCUGGGGAGUACGGUCGCAAGGCUGAAACUUAAAUGAAUUGACGG
rnacentral:rRNA from 1 species